CACAACCAAACAAGCUUUCUAUAAACACAUAGGUUUAUAUACAACACUGGAUGGUCUACAAAAUAGAUAGACUCAACAACUAGGGAACUGUCCUAUGACCAACUUGUCAGACACGUUCACCGAUUCUUCAGCCUCCACCUUCCGAACUCCAGGACUUCCGGUCCUCCACGACCGUCAUCUAGGGACCUGAAAUAUUAUCCCACAACCGGGAUGAGACUACGUCUCAGCGAGUCCUACCAUCUAAAACUCAAUUAGGGAGAAAAUACGCCUCAGGGCGCUCUAACCACACAAAUAGGAUAGCGGGCUUACGUCGCCUCAGUCCCUUUCAUGCACGUCAGUACAAUUCAUAUUCAAACAAUGCUCGCACAAGCUGAAUCUACCGACAUACCCAUCGGUCUAUCAAUUCAGUCAAUCCAAUUGAUAUCAUACGAUCCACAUAUCUAUCAAUUCAUAUCAUCUAUUAAACCAUACCAUCUAUUCAUCCAUCAAUACAAUUAUGGCUCGCACAAGCUGAAUUGGAUGCAAUGCUCUCACAAGCUGAUAUAGAUGGUAGCUCGCACAAGCUGAUAUAUGGAUCGUUGCUCUCACAAGCUGAUAAACGAUCAUUGCUCUCACAAGCUGAUAAAUGAUCAUUGCUCUCACAAGCUGACAUACAGUGCUCACACAAGCUGACAAUGAUGCUCACACAAUGUGAUACAUAUAUAAACCAAUUGCUCGCCAAAGCUGAUAAUUCAAUAAUAAACCAACUCAUACCUCAAUUCAAUCAAUCAAUCAAUUCAAUCGAUUCAAACUGGUCAUACAAACCAAUUACGGUGCUAAAAGCUAACACCGGGUAUUUUCAAGUUAAAUACCACAACUUCAUGAAUUUCACACAAUUCCACACUUUUGGAAUUAUUCACCAUAAUCAUCAAUCACUCAAUUUCUCAAUUUAAACAUACAACUAACACAAACCGACCGCACUGCUGCGAUCAGCGUGAAAUUCUAACGACCGGCCAUCCCGGCAUAAUUUUCGAAAUUAUUAAAUAAUUAAAUUUAAUUCCGAAAAUUAAAUAAUUAAAUAUUAUAUUAUAAUAAUAUAAAAUAAUAAAAUAAUAUUUAAAAAUUCGAAAUAAUUAUUUAAUUAAAAAUAAUCAAUUAGGGCUUAAAUUAGAUUACACUAAUUCAAACACACAAUUAGCCCUAAUUAAACAUCCAUUAAACUAAUCAUACAACUAAUCUAAUUUACAUUAAAAUAAUCUAAUUUAAUCACAUAAACCUAAUUAGACUAAUCUAAACACCCCUAAGCAUCAUUAACUCACUAAGCAAGAAUUAGAGGAUAAGCUCACCCGAUUAACGAUCCGAACGGCUCAAAACGACAAGGACGACGCGAGGGUCGAUAAUCUCCAAGGCGGGCCUAGCUUCCGGGGUCGGGAAGCCG
rnacentral:lncRNA from 1 species